rnacentral:rRNA from 1 species
GUAGGUGGCAAGCGUUGUCCGGAAUUAUUGGGCGUAAAGCGCGCGCAGGCGGUUCUUUAAGUCUGAUGUGAAAGCCCACGGCUCAACCGUGGAGGGUCAUUGGAAACUGGAGAACUUGAGUACAGAAGAGGAAAGCGGAAUUCCACGUGUAGCGGUGAAAUGCGUAGAGAUGUGGAGGAACACCAGUGGCGAAGGCGGCUUUCUGGUCUGUAACUGACGCUGAGGCGCGAAAGCGUGGGGGGAGCAAACAGGAUUAGAUACCCUGGUAGUCCACGCCGUAAACGAUGAGUGCUAAGUGUUAGGGGGUUUCUGCCCCCCCCUUAGUGCUGCAGCUAACGCAUUAAGCACUCCGCCUGGGAGUACGGCCGCAAGGCUG